rnacentral:SRP_RNA from 1 species
UCGCGCUAGGCGGGGAGCUAGCGGUUCCCUGAACCCGCAAUCCGCUGAAGGCGGGGCCGAACGCCGCCCGAGGGGCGGAGAUCUCGGGGCUUGGGCCCGCGCACGUGGUGCCGACGGCCAGGUCCCGCGCACUGGGAGCGUCCGAACCGCGUCAGGUCCGGAAGGAAGCAGCGCUAAGGAUCCCCUCCCAGGUGCCGCGGCCCCGCCUGGCCCGAGCCAACGACGUGGGUUCCUCCCGGGGCGACCGCUUCGACGGCGGAGCGCGC